rnacentral:rRNA from 1 species
UACGGAGGGUGCGAGCGUUGUCCGGAAUCACUGGGCGUAAAGGGCGCGUAGGCGGCGCGGGAAGUCAACGGUGAAAGCUUGGGGCUCAACUCCGAGUCGGCCGUCGAUACUCCCGUGCUCGAGCACUGUAGAGGCAGAUGGAAUUCCGGGUGUAGCGGUGGAAUGCGUAGAUAUUGUGAGGAACACUAGUGGCGAAGGCGAGACUCUGGACAGUUCCUGACGCUGAGGCACGAAGGCCAGGGGAGCAAACGGG